AGCUAAUCAUCAUUUUAAGUUAUUUGUUUUUUUCGCUGUUGACAAAUUGUGCAUGAUAGAGAUAAAUGAGCUUAUUUGAUUAGUAAAUCCAGGUAAAAAAAAAGUUGUUUAUCUCAUUAUAUUUAACACCGAUAAUUCUGAAGACAGGAUUAAACCAAGAAACUUGAAUUAGCUUUUGUUUAUCAAAGGUUAUUUUAGAUUAUAUGAACUUGAAAAAAAAUUGCAUUAGUUUUUUUUAUACUUCUGAGAAAUUUAAGAAUACUUAAUUUAUAAGCACUUGACUUUUCUCAAGCCAAUUAAAUAGAGAUCUUUUACAAACUAAUUCUGGCAAUACCAACCAGAGGUAGAACAAUAUCACACAUCUCUAACAUAUACAUAUAAGCAAACAGAGGCAAAGACCUUAUGCUUCUUAUUUUUUUGUUUUGUUUUGAAUUUUAGCCAUGUCUCAGGUAUGAAACUCAAAAAGAAUAGUUGGAUCCAAAUUAUGGUUUUGGCAGAUGGACAAAAAACGUUAGAGUUAUUGGCAUAGAUGGCCCAAGUCUUUUACUAAAGACUUUUGUAUUAUUUGUAUGUUAUAAGGAUCCUUAUAGAACUGUUUUUGAAGCCAUUUGUGUCUUUUAGAAGCUUCUGUACAUCAAUCAAGGAGCACAUUCUAUUGUCUCUCAGAAGUUUGGAUUCCUCUCUUCUAAGGGUCCCUUUAAGAUGAGAAAACUGAGAUGUAGAAAACUGAGUGACUUGUCCAAAGUAAAACAGCUAGAAAGUUUUGGAGGCAAGAUUCAAACUCAAGUCUGGCUGAUUUCAAAGUCCCAAGCCCAAUGACUUCCACCCUACUGGAAAGACAAAGGCGAGCAGCUGCAGCAGGAACCAGGCCAUUCCGCCCCUGGUAUGAACAACAGUGGUAACAAAGCAGAAACAAGAACUGAUGUUUAUUUCGAGCCAGUCUCUUUGAAAACAUUAUCUCCUAGGGUUCACCAGCCUAAGGGAUGUAAAUUGGUCCUACUGCCAUUCAGUAUAUUGAAGAAGUCUCUUAUUUGGAAUUUGAAAUUGUGACAAGAAACCCCAUUCUAGGAAGGAAGCAUCUUGAUAAGUGAAAGGGAUUUAUUUUGAUCUGUUUUCUUCUGUAAACAUGGGGCUUGAAUUCAAGGUGCAACGCUGUGCCUUUGUAGAAACCGUUUUUCUCUAGACCUCAGAGAGGAGAGGGACUGAGCCUGCAGCUCUCAGGAGAAGGGGAGAGAGCCCACAAAGGCAUGGGUGGGCGCAGCCUCUCCCGUGCCAUCAGGCCUUCACUGCAUUCUGGAAAAACCACUCUGUAGUGUGGAAGGGAAUGCCAGAGAAUGUGAAGCCACACUUAAGCAUGCUUGGGGGGCCUGGUCAGUGCCCAGUAGGCUGUCAGCACAGGACCCCAGCGUCCCAGGGCUCCUAGCAGUCCCUGAAUGCCUGCUGACGCCUUACAUCACACACUGGCUUCCUCUCCUCCGUGUCUCUCCCAUUCCUCAAGCGCUUCCAGGGCUCACCGUUGUUGAGAGAAAACAAGAUGGAGUAAGACUCGAGCAAGCUGGGACAGGAAGUAAAAAUCAAGCCAAGAAGGAAUUCUGCCAAGCACAAUGCACACCCUGCCUAAAAAUAUUUAAGAAUAAAUCAAAGACAGUGUGGAGUGUACACCAAGGACAUUUAUAUUGAUGAAUUUAUGGGCGAGGUGAUAAAUACCAAAACAGGAAGUCAGUUAAAACAAGUGUGCAAAUAAGUAAGUAAUGGGGAAUUGGGGAGGGAGAUGAAAGAAUGCUUAAGCUUCAAGGUAAAAACUGCAAGGG